AGCGAACGCUGGCGGCAGGCCUAACACAUGCCAGUCGAACGAACCUUUCGGGGUUAGUGGCGGACGGGUGAGUAACACGUGGGAACGUGCCUUUAGGUUCGGAAUAACUCAGGGAAACUUGUGCUAAUACCGAAUGUGCCCUUCGGGGGAAAGAUUUAUUGCCUUUAGAGCGGCCCGCGUCUGAUUAGCUAGUUGGUUGAGGUAAUGGCUCACCAAGGCGACGAUCAGUAGCUGGUCUGAGAGGAUGAUCAGCCACAUUGGGACUGAGACACGGCCCAAACUCCUACGGGAGGCAGCAGUGGGGAAUCUUGCGCAAUGGGCGAAAGCCUGACGCAGCCAUGCCGCGUGAAUGAUGAAGGUCUUAGGAUUGUAAAAUUCUUUCACCGGGGACGAUAAUGACGGUACCCGGAGAAGAAGCCCCGGCUAACUUCGUG
rnacentral:rRNA from 1 species